rnacentral:rRNA from 1 species
GUGGAUUAGUGGCGAACGGGUGAGUAACACGUGGGCAAUCUGCCCUUCACUCUGGGACAAGCCCUGGAAACGGGGUCUAAUACCGGAUAACACUCUGUCCUGCAUGGGACGGGGUUAAAAGCUCCGGCGGUGAAGGAUGAGCCCGCGGCCUAUCAGCUUGUUGGUGGGGUAAUGGCCUACCAAGGCGACGACGGGUAGCCGGCCUGAGAGGGCGACCGGCCACACUGGGACUGAGACACGGCCCAGACUCCUACGGGAGGCAGCAGUGGGGAAUAUUGCACAAUGGGCGAAAGCCUGAUGCAGCGACGCCGCGUGAGGGAUGACGGCCUUCGGGUUGUAAACCUCUUUCAGCAGGGAAGAAGCGAAAGUGACGGUACCUGCAGAAGAAGCGCCGGCUAACUACGUGCCAGCAGCCGCGGUAAUACGUAGGGCGCAAGCGUUGUCCGGAAUUAUUGGGCGUAAAGAGCUCGUAGGCGGCUUGUCACGUCGGAUGUGAAAGCCCGGGGCUUAACCCCGGGUCUGCAUUCGAUACGGGCUAGCUAGAGUGUGGUAGGGGAGAUCGGAAUUCCUGGUGUAGCGGUGAAAUGCGCAGAUAUCAGGAGGAACACCGGUGGCGAAGGCGGAUCUCUGGGCCAUUACUGACGCUGAGGAGCGAAAGCGUGGGGAGCGAACAGGAUUAGAUACCCUGGUAGUCCACGCCGUAAACGUUGGGAACUAGGUGUUGGCGACAUUCCACGUCGUCGGUGCCGCA